GCCAUAGCUCAGUGGCAGAGCACUUGCCUUGCAUGUAGAAGGUCCCGGGUUCAAAUCCUGACAUGUCUGUA
rnacentral:tRNA from 1 species